rnacentral:lncRNA from 1 species
AAAGAUGCAGUAUGCGAGCCAUGGAUAUUGAUAUUUGGGGGCAAUGGCUUAAAUAUUAGUACAAAGCUUUCUUUACAUUUCAAAAGGUUGAAGACCCGAUUGCUUCAUAUCUUCUUGACCUCAUUUUCGUUGGUCAGCAAUUGUGAUUAAAAAAAAAUAAAAAUCCAGAGGUCCUUUUCGUUGUAUGAAUUUUUAUGCCCCCUACGGUGGUAGAGGGGCAUUGUGUUUUCUGGUUUGGGGGGUUCGUUUGUCCCGCUUCAGGAUAAAGUUUUUGGUCGACGUAGUUUUUGGAAAGUUUGCUAUAGCUUGCUAUAGCUACUUUCCAUAGGCGUUGGCCUCAACUUCCAGUGAG